AUUGCUUCUCGGCCAUUUGGCUAAGAUCAAGUGUAGAAGAAUCUGUAUAUUGCAGUAAUACAUCACCAAGUUUGAUAUAUGUAGGGUUUUAUCCUUUCUUUUGCAUUACUGGAGAUUGAACCCACUGUUU
rnacentral:snRNA from 1 species